CCUUGCCAGCCCGCUCCGAAACUUAAAGGAAUUGACGGGGCCCGCACAAGCGGUGGAGCAUGUGGUUUAAUUCGAUGAUACGCGAGGAACCUUACCUGGGCUCAAAUGUAUGUUGACGUAUUCUGAAAGGGAUACUUCUUCGGACAAUAUACAAGGUGCUGCAUGGUUGUCGUCAGCUCGUGCCGUGAGGUGUCGGGUUAAGUCCCAUAACGAGCGCAACCCCUAUCAUUAGUUGCCAUCAGGUCAAGCUGGGGACUCUAAUGAAACUGCCUACGCAAGUAGUGAGGAAGGCGGGGAUGACGUCAAAUCAGCACGGCCCUUACGUCCAGGGCUACACACGUGCUACAAUGGCCGAUACAGAGGGCAGCUACCUGGUGACAGGAUGCAAAUCUCCAAAGUCGGUCUCAGUUCGGAUCGGAGUCUGCAACCCGACUCCGUGAAGUUGGAUUCGCUAGUAAUCGCGCAUCAGCCAUGGCGCGGUGAAUACGUUCCCGGGCCUU
rnacentral:rRNA from 1 species